GCCGCGGCUGUCAGCUGCCCAGAAGCCUGGGCGAGUGAGGACCUACAAAGUUUGUCCGCUCCGGGGCGCCAUACCAGCUCGGUUCCCGGCCGGCCGGGCUGGUCCGGGCUUAGCCCAGGAGACCCCGAUGGCCGCAGUGUUCCUGGUUACGCUCUACGAAUACUCGCCGCUCUUCUACAUCGCGGUGGUCUUCACCUGCUUCAUCGUCACCACCGGCCUGGUAUUAGGAUGGUUUGGCUGGGACGUUCCAGUAAUUCUGAGAAACUCAGAAGAAACCCAGUUCAGCACAAGAGCUUUCAAGAAACAAAUGAGACAAGUGAAGAAUCCGUUCGGCUUAGAGAUCACUAACUCAUCCGCAGCUUCCCUACAGGUGUAACCUUGACGACAGACUGCCUGGAAGACAGUCGUCUUACGUGCUACUGGGGGUGCAGUGUUCAAAAGCUCUAUGAAGCUCUUCAGAAGCACGUUUACUGCUUCAGGAUAAGCACUCCGCAAGCCUUGGAAGAGGCGCUGUACAGUGACUAUCUCCACCGAGAACAGUAUUUUAUUAAAAAGCACAGCAAAGAAGAAAUAUAUUGCCAAUUACCAAGCAGUACUGGGGUUGAAGACUUUGGUCCAGUGCCCAGAUCUCGCUAUCCAUUGGUAGCUCUGUUGACCCUCGCUGAUGAGGAUGACAGGGAAAUUUAUGACAUUAUUUCCAUGGUGUCUGUCAUUCAUAUUCCUGAUAAGACUUACAAACUUCCCUGCAGAAUAUUGUAUCAAUAUUUAAUCCUGGCUCAAGGU
rnacentral:lncRNA from 1 species